GGGGGAAUAGCUCAGUGGUAGAGCAUUUGAUUGCAAAAAGUCAUGUGCUUUUCCAUAAAUGCUCCUUUUCCCCUUCCCCCA
rnacentral:tRNA from 1 species